CCGAAACGAGAGAUUCACGUCUUCUCGAAGGAGUCGACCUCCGUCGGGAGGAUGGCCUAACGCCCCGUCCGGCUCGUCCGUGGCGGUGGGUAGGCUGCCUCCCGCGGGGUGUUCGGCUUCUCGGGGGCCCGCACUUCUCUCGCAGUAGGACGUCGCGACCCGCUCUGCGGCGGUCUAACGGCCGGAAGAUUGCCUGGCCGGGGCCCAUCUCUCGGGGUGGGUUCUCGACCAGAUCUCCGGAUCCGCGGCCGUCGGUCCGGGCGGUAUGAAACGACUUUAGCGCUGGGCCGCUCCUCGAGAGCGCCGAGCCUCCCCGCAAGCUCGGGUUGGGAUGCCGGGUCGUGCCCUCACGGGUACGCUCGGCGCCCGCCCGGACUGUUGGCGGGUGACGGCUCCGGCUGUCCGUCCAGCACGCUUGUCGGCGGCGCUUCAGAUUCGGGCACUUAUCCGACCCGUCUUGAAACACGGACCAAGGAGUCUAGCGUGUGCGCGAGUCAUUGGGUGUAAAACCUAAAGGCGUAAUGAAAGUGUCAGAGGGCGCCCCGCGCCCUCAGUGGGAGGAUGGGCUCCCGGACCUCCGUCCGGUGCCCCGCACUCCCGGGGCGUUUCAUUCUCAUUGCGAGUCGAGACGCACCAGGAGCGCACACGCUGGUACCCGAAAGAUGGUGAACUAUGCCUGGCCAGGACGAAGCCAGGGGAAACCCUGGUGGAGGUCCGAAGCGAUUCUGACGUGCAAAUCGAUCGUCUGAGCUGGGUAUAGGGGCGAAAGACCAAUCGAACCAUCUAGUAGCUGGUUCCCUCCGAAGUUUCCCUCAGGAUAGCUGGCUCUCGGGAAGAGACGAGUCUCAUCCGGUAGAGCGAAUGAUUAGAGGUGAUGGGGU
rnacentral:rRNA from 1 species